UACGAAGGGGGCUAGCGUUGCUCGGAAUCACUGGGCGUAAAGCGCACGUAGGCGGACUCUUAAGUCAGGGGUGAAAUCCUGGAGCUCAACUCCAGAACUGCCUUUGAUACUGGGAGUCUUGAGUUCGGAAGAGGUGAGUGGAACUGCGAGUGUAGAGGUGAAAUUCGUAGAUAUUCGCAAGAACACCAGUGGCGAAGGCGGCUCACUGGCCCGAUACUGACGCUGAGGUGCGAAAGCGUGGGGAGCAAACAGG
rnacentral:rRNA from 1 species